CUCUUGGCUCUCGCAUCGAUGCCGCCCGCAGCGAAAUGCGAUAAGUAAUGUGAAUUGCAGAAUUCAGUGAAUCAUCGAAUCUUUGAACGCACCUUGCGCUCCGUGGUAUUCCGCGGCAGUGCCUGUUUGAGUGUCAUGUCAACCCUCACCCUUGCGAU
rnacentral:rRNA from 1 species